CCCGUUAUCCGGGUUGCGGACAGUGUCUGGUGGGUAGUUUGACUGGGGCGGUCUCCUCCUAAAGAGUAACGGAGGAGCACGAAGGUUGGCUAAUCCUGGUCGGACAUCAGGAGGUUAGUGCAAUGGCAUAAGCCAGCUUGACUGCGAGCGUGACGGCGCGAGCAGGUGCGAAAGCAGGUCAUAGUGAUCCGGUGGUUCUGAAUGGAAGGGCCAUCGCUCAACGGAUAAAAGGUACUCCGGGGAUAACAGGCUGAUACCGCCCAAGAGUUCAUAUCGACGGCGGUGUUUGGCACCUCGAUGUCGGCUCAUCACAUCCUGGGGCUGAAGUAGGUCCCAAGGGUAUGGCUGUUCGCCAUUUAAAGUGGUACGCGAGCUGGGUUUAGAACGUCGUGAGACAGUUCGGUCCCUAUCUGCCGUGGGCGCUGGAGAACUGAGGGGGGCUGCUCCUAGUACGAGAGGACCGGAGUGGACGCAUCACUGGUGUUCGGGUUGUCAUGCCAAUGGCACUGCCCGGUAGCUAAAUGCGGAAGAGAUAAGUGCUGAAAGCAUCUAAGCACGAAACUUGCCCCGAGAUGAGUUCUCCCUGACUCCUUGAGAGUCCUGAAGGAACGUUGAAGACG
rnacentral:rRNA from 1 species